CUACGGAGGGUGCAAGCGUUAAUCGGAAUUACUGGGCGUAAAGCGCGCGUAGGCGGUUAUUUAAGUCAGAUGUGAAAUCCCUGGGCUCAACCUAGGAACUGCAUCUGAUACUGGGUAACUAGAGUUUUGGAGAGGUAAGUGGAAUUUCCGGUGUAGCGGUGAAAUGCAUAGAGAUCGGAAGGAACACCAGUGGCGAAGGCGACUUACUGGCCAAAAACUGACGCUGAGGUGCGAAAGCGUGGGUAGCAAACAGGAUUAGAUACCCUAGUAGUCC
rnacentral:rRNA from 1 species